rnacentral:lncRNA from 1 species
UCUUCCUCCUCUAUAUCUCUUUAUCCUUUGGAGUAUCCAAGGUGCUUGAAGAAGAAAGAAGAAAGAAGAAAUUAGCUGUCAAAAUUGCUUACAGGCUAGUACCUCUAGCCUCUGAUCUGCGCCAGUCUUCAAGUAGAUUUUUUAUAGAGACCAGACAACUUCGUGUGGCUAUGAGUGACCUAAAGAAUAUUCUCUCGAAGUAUUGGACCAGAGGAGAACAAGAUCUAAUUGGUUCAGUAAU